AAUAUUGCACAAUGGAGGAAACGCUGAUGCAGCGACGCCGCGUGAACGAGGAAGGCUUUCGGGUCGUACAGUUCUGUCCUUGGGGACGAUAAUGACGGUACGCAAGGAGGAAGCCGCGGCUAACUACGUGCCAGCAGCCGCGGUAAUACGUAGGGGGCAAGCGUUGUCCGGAUUUAUUGGGCGUAAAGGGUGCGUAGGCGGCCAUUUAAGUCAGAUGUGAAAGAUCACGGCUCAACCGUGGUAAGCAUUUGAAACUGAAAGGCUUGAGUUAAGGAGAGGAAAGUGGAAUUCCUAGUGUAGCGGUGAAAUGCGUAGAUAUUAGGAGGAAUACCAGUGGCGAAGGCGACUUUCUGGACUUAUACUGACGCUGAGGAACGAAAGCGUGGGGAGCGAACA
rnacentral:rRNA from 1 species